GAUUUACAUAUUCGUGUGGAGGAAAGGAGAGACAACACGAUUAAGAUGCGAGAUGCGAACGUCCAAGCAAAGGAUAACGUCGCAAAGGUUUUCUGUUGGACCGGUGGGCGUGAGUGGAGAGCAACGCAGGAAGAGCAGUGAUCUCAAGACUUCGCUCUAUAUGUACUUGGAAAAUGAACGCACCGAAAGCUCCGACUGGCUGUGGUUCAAGGGGUACGAAAGAUAGAUGAGAUGAAUGUCGUACGUUGAAUGUAGUUAUAAAAAUAGUAAAUCUACGACACUUGUUACUUGCAGUGAUUCAAACUGCACUUGUACGCUGAAUUCCAUUAAUGCCUGGACCUGUCAAUUGUUACCGACCGUUCAAGU